rnacentral:lncRNA from 1 species
ACUAACAUAACUGAUUCGUCUAAGUUUUAUCAUGAUGCAUGAACAUUUAUGCAGAGUAAGUAUUCUAUUUGAAAUGCUAGACAAGGUACCCUUGAGCGGACAACUCAAGAGGGAAAGGCACGGAACCGUCGACUACACCGUUAAUCAACUAGUUUUACCGCAAAUAUUCCUUUGCCAAAUUUAGGGCGUUUUGUAAUAAUGGAAUAGCGCAACCACUCAUCAUAAUCGUUGCUAUAACAUUUCUUUGGCACGAGUGGAAGAUGAUGUUAAAAGAUGCAAUUACAACAAUGGAAUAAAUACAUGUAUUUUCAUGUUCAUACAAUAAUGAUUACAAUAAAUGCUUGAAAUUUAAGACGGAUUUGAAGUAAAGUGAGG